rnacentral:misc_RNA from 1 species
ACAAACUUGGUCAUUUAGAGGAAGUAAAAGUCGUAACAAGGUUUCCGUAGGUGAACCUGCGGAAGGAUCAUUAUUGAUUAAAAUUAUGAACGGACUGCUGCUGGUUCUUCAGGAGCAUGUGCACGUCUGUUUUUAUUUUAAACAUUUUUCUCCUGUGCACUACUGGUAGAGAUCAUUCCAAAGCAAUGGACCCUUCGAGCUUACACGGUUCGGUUGAAGGAAUUUAGCGGUACAUCUGUUCGAUGUAUGGCUUUUCUUUUCAAGCCUUGUUUUGGAGGACUUUACUGUAUUCAUAUGUCAUACACCAUAUAAAUGAAACAGAAUGAAUAUUUUAAAACUUGCAUAACUUUCAACAACGGAUCUCUUGGCUCUCGCAUCGAUGAAGAACGCAGC